CCUGCAACCUCAUGGUUCUUAGUUGAAUUUGUUUCUGCUACGCCACGAAGGGAACUCCUGGCUGGGUCUCUUUUGAUGCUUCUUCUUGGAACCAAGAUUCCAUCCAUCCUGUGAGAAGAUAAGGCCAUAUAAAUAGGUUAUGGGAGGCCACAGCUAUGGCCAGAGUCAACUGACAGCCGUGUGAUUGAGCCAUCAUAGAUGUGCAGCCCAGCCAGUCCUUCAGAGGACUUUAGCUCCAGUAAAAACCUGACGUUUACACUUCAGACCCAAACAAGAUCUACUGAGUUAAAUUCAGUUAACACACAGACUGAGUCGAGAUAAUAGUAAAGUUCUAUCUUACACUGAUAACUUGAGUGUUUUGUUAUACAGCAAUAGAUAAUAAAAAUAGCUUUCACAAAGGAUUCAGAUCACAGGGUAUUUUUCCUUCCUCAUAUUUAUUUAAAUAUUGUUGAAUAACUAUUUGUAUAUUUUUCCUUACUUGUGAACAGAAGUUUAUAAAUUCCAUUAGUCACAUUACAAGGAGGAGUGCAGUGUGCUAGUGUAUAGACAUAUUUUUGUUUUGAAAUAUCCAGGCUUGCCCCAACCCAAGGGUUUUGAGCUGUGGAUCACUUACCUAGAAAAAUUCUAUCAAUCAAAGUUAAAGAUGGCAGGACACUGCAUGGCUGGGAUUGGAAGACCUCAGAGGCUUCUUGUUAAACAUAUGGGAUUUUUCAACAUGAAAAUCCACUUGUUACAAGUGUUAUAUAACUGCAUAUUAAGGCUGAGAGAUGUCCUCCUGGAGACUGGACCUGAGACUGGGUUCACAUCAGUAAAGUUAGAAAAAGCCUAAAUGCAGAAGCAUUUUUCAGAGACUUGAAACUAGAGGCCAUGUAUGGGUCAUCAGCAGGAACAGUGGAUUCUGUUCUAAAAUGUUGCUGCUUUAUAAAAACAAUGAGAACCGUGGGGAAAAAAAUGCUCAAAUCAACUUUUUAAAAACUCCAUGUGUAACUGAAAGCUUGUAAAAAUCAGAGACAACUUAGUUCAAGAAAAACUGUUGAAUCUUGGUAAGAAAAUUUUAUUUCCAUUCCCUCAUCCCAGCUCUGAAAUAACCUUGACAAACCAUUGGCUUUUCAAUUAUGGUGAAAAACAGCAGCCUAGCAGCCACCGGAGGUAAUAUAACAAGUUAGAGCUCCCUAAAAGCAUCAUUUUCAGAGAAUUGUCGUUACUUAACCUGUCUGGCAUUUACCUGGAAAUCUUCAUCCUAAGGCUUGUCUUUAUUUGACCUAAUUCAGAGCUUAGUCACUACAAACAUCUUCUGUCUGAGUGUAUUUGUCAACAACAACAACAAAAGUAGCAGUCUCCUUAAUAUUGCAACUUCCCGUGGCAGUGAUAACAAUUAGGGUUAACAAAAACUUCCUAAAAGAUGUAAAAGGAAAAUACUGAGAUUGAGAUGUCCAUGGAGAGCUUUGGAAAGCUCUAAUAUAUUUCAGGGAAUCAAGAAGGCCACACAGGUGUCAAGGACUGUGCCCAUGUCCAAGGCUGUUUAUAUUCCCAGGAAAGAAGUAAGCAUAUCCUAAACUCUCACUUCUCAUUGACCUUGAGGCUCUAGGCAAGCAGAAAGUGAAGACUGAAACAGAAGUGUAGACUACCUGUCUGAGCAUUGCACGUGUGCCAUAGGACACACACAGUCCCACAACAAAGAAUGGAGAAUUUAUUGGUGCCAGUUAUUUAAGGGCAAAGUUGAUGAAUUGGACUUUAUUGAAAUGAAAUCUUCUGUUCUCAAGACACUGGAAAAUAAGCUAGAGACUGGAAGAAAAUAUUUGCAGAUCACACAUAUGAGAAAGAACAUGUAUCUAGAAUAUAUAAAAACACUCAAAACUCAAUAAGAAAGAAGCCCACUCAAUAAUAAAUGAAUGAAAUUUUUGAACACUUUACCAAAGAAGACUUAUGGAUGGCAAGUAGGCAGUUGAGGAAUGAAUAAACAAGCUGUUGUGCAUCCAUAUAGUGGCAUACUUCUAAGCAACAAAAAGAAAUGUACUAUUAUUAUUACAUGUGAUGGCAUGAGUAAAUCUCAAGUGUGUUGCUCUGUGUGAAGAGUCUGAUUUUAUAUAUUGUAGAAUUUCAUUUAAAAGACGUUCUUGCAAAGGCAAAAAAAAAAAGGAAAAGAAGAAGCUGUAGCAACAGAAACAGGCUCUAUGUUAUAAAGCACUUGUCUGCUGAAGAGAGGAGCUAAGAAUAUAAAAUGCUCCAGACCCAGGAUAUUAAACAGUGAAUUCGCCUGGUAACCAAUCAGGACAAGGAAGUCAAACUAAAAUAUGUUUCUUCAUGCUUGUAUAUGAAUUGUUACGAUGCAAUGUGCUUAAAUUGUGAGAGGAAGCUCCUGGUCGUCAACAUCUGGACUCUGAAUCUUCCUGCCACCUAAAAAUUUUUAAGUAAGCUGGAGAUGCAACUGCUAUGAAUAUCAGUAUAAAGAAUUUUUAUGGACACAUACUUUGAAGUAUCUGGUUAAGCACUUAGUAUUGAAAUUGCUGGAACAUGUGCACAAAUCCUGCAAAUCUUAGCAGCUCGCUGGAUGAUCCACUGUAGGUCUGACCCCAUUAUCUAUUUUUUUUUUUUUGUCUUUUUUUUUU